UCCCUAGUGGCUCAGAGGGUAAAGCGUCUGCUUACAAUGCGGGAGACCCGGGUUCAAUCCCUGGGUCGGGAA
rnacentral:tRNA from 1 species